rnacentral:lncRNA from 1 species
AGUAACCAGCCCAGUGCUCGGCCUGUGGGGACAGAGGAGCACGUCUGCAGCUUGGAAGACCUCGGACGCAAGGCUUGGGCCUGAGGGACCAGCCAGGCAAUGAGAGGACAUGAGGCAAGCAGCAAGUCUCCCACCAAGAGUGAGAGAAUCCUUGGACCUGAGAUCCCCUUCCUGUAUCUGAGCCUCAGCUUCCUUGUCUGAGCAAUGGGCCAAUAGCUUGCCACGAGGCUCACCUUAUCAGAGGUAGUGGACAUAGGUGCUCCCUAGAGGCUGUGUGGAUGGAUGGAAGGACGGAUGGAUGGGAGGAAGGUGGAAAGAUGGAUGACUUGGUGCAGCAGAAUUUCAGAAAAUGCAGAGCCAGCCACAGCUGGAGACUUUCCUCGGUUCGGCAGUGUUUCCUGUGUGCCUACUCUGUGUCCAUCCCUGCGCAAGGCACCAGAGGAAGUUUAAGAGGCGAAACAAAACCAGGCUUUGCAGACGGGGAUCUGGGAUUGAGCACAGCAUUUUCUGCUGCUAAUAAUGACAAUGCUGUGAAACUGGAAACACCCCUGGCAAGACCUCCCUUGGCCCCUCAACACCGGGGCAGGCACAGGCGUCCUGGAGAAACGAGGCUGUGUUCAGACAGGACAGGCUGCAGAAGUGGGUCCCCAGCGAGGACAGUGGUCCAGCACCAUGAAAAGGAUAAUGAAGAAACCCCAUGAAUAACUUCACGCUCAGUAAGUGCUGCAGCUGAGAAAAAAGGAGAAAAUUCUUUGAAAAACACGAACCAUCAAAACUCAACCAAGAUGAAACGGGUCAUUUGAAUGGGCCUACCACCAUGGAAGAAAUUGAAUUUGUAAUUUAGAAGUUCCCUCAAAAGAAAUCUCCCAGACCCAGUGGUGUCCCUGGAGAAUCUAUCAAAAAUUUAAAGAAGGAGCAAUACCAGAAUGUACGCAAUUCCUUCCAGAACAUAGCAGAGAAGGAACAAUCCCCCCAACCUGUUUCAUGAAGCUGCCAUUGGCCUGAUUCCAAAACUAGACAAAGGCAACACACACACAGAAACAAACAAAACCCACUGCAGACGAAUGUCUCAUGAACUUAGAUCCAAAAAUCCUCCACAAAAUAAAAGUAGGUGGAAUCCAACAAUGUAGAGAAAGAAUUACCACCAAGACCACGCAGGAUCGACUCCACGUUGGCACGUCUACACCGCAUUGAGAAAUCAGAGGACGUAAUUCUCCCUACCAACGAGCUCAAGAAGAAAGGGUGUCAUCAUUUCAACUGAGGCAGAAAAUGCCUCUAACAAAAUCCAACACGCCUUCAUCACAAAAACCCGAGGUAAACGAGGAACGGGGCAAACUUCCUCCGCUUGAGACCAAACAGGGUCGUUCUCGAGGCUGGGACGAUCCGGCCAAGGACCAGUCAGUAGUUACCACUGGGAAGCGAGCAAGCGCGCGGCCAUCAUGUCUGGGCACCUGCUGAGGACGGCGGGUCAACGGUGGGCACCGGGACCCUUAGGGCGGUGGGUCACUCUGCACAGAGCCACAAAGGCGAGGGGGUCGUGUGCACCUGACGGCUUCGCAGGGGGAGACGCGGAGGGAGCCAUAGGUAGACAUGACCUUUUGUAAGGAUAACGCAGCAAGACCAGCCCUCGGCCCGGGCGGUUAAUUCGGGAUGUUGAUGACGGGCCUGGAUGUGUGUGAUGGGGGAGGGGACGCAGACCCUCUGCACUCUGUGCACAAUUUUCUAGAAACUUGAAAUUGUCUGUUAAUCUAAAAAAAUUUCGGAGUUCCCG